GAUGAAGAACGUAGCGUAAUGCGAUAAGUAAUGUGAAUUGCAGAAUUCAGUGAAUCAUCGAAUCUUUGAACGCACAUUGCGCCCGCCAGCACUCUGGCGGGCAUGCCUGUUCGAGCGUCAUUUCAACCAUCAAGCCCCCAGGGGCUUGUGCUGGGGCCCUGCGGCUGCCCGCAGGCCCUGAAAACCAGUGGCGGGCUCGCUAGUCACACCGAGCGCAGUAGCACAUCUCGCUCAGGGCGUGCGGCGGGCUCCUGCCGUGAAACCCCCCACUGUAACCCCAAAGGUUGACCUCGGAUCAGGUAGGAAUACCCGCUGAACUUAAGCAUAUCAAUAAGCGGAGGA
rnacentral:misc_RNA from 1 species